rnacentral:lncRNA from 7 species
AUGUUGUGUUCUUUGUUUGUUUGUUUGUUUGUUUUGUUUUUUUCCAGUUAAAGAAUACUCAGUUAGCACAACAAUACCUGAAUGCUGAUAAAGAAAAGAAAAAUCAAAAUAAUACUCAAGAGCUAACCAAACAAAAUUAGUUUACAAAGAAGGCAGUAAGUUGUCAUCUCUUUCUUUUGCUCUCAUAAUAUGCCAAAGGCAUAGGAUGCCACAAUACUAGGAAGCAGGUUGAGUCAGAAGAUUCAGAGACAUUAGUUUUAUUAAAAAUAAUAAUAAUAAAAAAGAACAAUAUAAUAUCUUCAAAUAGAGAUAUUUAUGAAGAAACAUAAAGAAGUUAUGAAUAAGAACUUACUGUCUUUAUUUUUCCUGUGCAGAGUUCAUUUCAGCUAUAAAAAAGUUACUUUAUCUGGGCCAUUUAUCCUAACCUUUGCUUAAAUGCCAUGGAGAGAAUUAGUAACCAAGAUUGCUUUAAACCAGCAUAAGAUCAUAGAAGUUUUGUCACAC